AACCGCUUCCUUUGCAUAAUCUACCUAUCUGCCUACUUCUGAAUUGCUUCAGACUGCAGCCUUCAAAUUCCUUAUUACAGCCUAACCUAUUUUUGUCAAUGUCUUUACUAAAGAUUGCCCUCCAGAAGGUCAGGCAUUACUUUAUGAAUCAAUCAUUGCUGCCCUUUUGGCUCAUUAACCUCAAUUUCCUUCAUUACAACCAAAAAGCUUGUAAGAGUUGAUCAAAAGCAACACAGCAAGAAGCUAAUGGAGGAAAAGGAACAUUCUGCAUGGAUCUCUGUGGGGAGAAGAGAAAAUUCCAAGUGCCAGAUACCCUUGUCAAGAGAACCAGUCUUCUGUUUCCUGCUGUUGUGGCCGUAUCCUGCACCAUUUCUGUGCUCAUGAGGAUUCAGGCUGGAGACAGCAUUGUAGCAGUGAUUGCUUACACACCAUGUCCAUCCAACGGUGGUUCCCUGCACCUUCAGAGCCUUUCACAUAGUGCUGUGAGACCCCAAAUCCCAUGGUUCAACAUGGUCUUUAAAUGAUUGCUGACCUUCUUGAAAAAAAACCCUACAUUGUUAAAGAGCUCACCACAGCAGCAAGACUUGCUCGCAGCGCUUUUUGUUUUGUCUCAGUUGACAGGAAAUGAUUAAAAAAAAAAUCUCCUGAGUUUGAAAAUUUUGUGGAAGAGAGUAUGUAACAGAAUCAAGGAAAGCAAAACAAAGCUUGUGUUUGACAGAGCUGUGCAGUCCCAGCUUGGUAUUUCGGAUCUGGAUUGAAGCAAAGUUACAAAGUUGUGUUCAGACAUUGCCAUGAGACCUACUCACACUGGACAUGAUAGAAUGUGCAAGUGAAAUGAAUUUGAACCUUUCUGUUGAACUUAGAGACCUAUGGAGUAGGCUUUGCAACUACCUCCCAUUACCAGAAAUAACUCAUAACAUUUUAAGGAAAGAAGUUUACAACUUUAAAGAAUACCUUUAAUACACUUGAAAAAUGUAUUUGGAUGCUAUCAUAGCAUGGGGAAACAAGUAAAACAAAAACCCCCACAAACAUCCAGCCAUAUAUCCUUCAGCAAAUUUGCAUUCACACUUUCACCAAGAACUGCAGCUUGCUCUCAGGACUGUGAUUUUAUUAUGCUUAAAUUCUUGAUUGUCCGUUAAUAUUACCAUUAUCACAUUAGAUAUUCUCCAAUAUUAGAGAUUGCUUGUCACUUAAGCACAGAGAAUUUGAGUAUGCAAGAAGUCCAUGUGAAUCCAGUGGGAAUUCUCAGAUCCUAAAAGUGAAACAUGUUCGAAAACAUUGCUGAGCUGAAAUCAGAUUGAAGUGAGGAUGUCUUCCAACACCCAAGUCCAAAGUCAGCAGAGCAUUCUUUCUAUGAAAAGAUGAAUGCUGAUGAGUGAUAACCUUUGAAUUUGCCUAACAGAAAUUAAUUUACAGAUGUCUGCCUUAUGAAAUAAGUUCACCACAUCCUCAUUUCAAAUAACGCAGUUACUUUUGGGUGGGUUUAUGACAGAAAGAUAGGCACUGGGUUUUUGUGGUCCCCACAGUGAUAUGUUUCCUCUCCCUUUCCCUUAAGCACAGUAGAUACGGAGGUUGGGUGCUGCUCCAGCAGCACCUGGGCCAGGUAAUGUGCAAUUCCUCUUUACUACUCUUUUACCUCUAAGGAAGAUCCGUUACACACAAAUGGCAUGGAAUUCAGAUUACCUGGCAGUCACAGAGAAAUAGAAUCACUAUUGUCCGUUGCCUGAGCCUUUUUAAUCUAGUUUCCUUGAAAUUUGGUUUUGCUUAAUUUGCUUUCCCUCCUGUGUCUCAAAAAGAACUAGGAAAUUAUUCUGUUUAAUUGGUCAUAUGCCACUGGAAUUUAAAAAGCUUGGCAGUUUGGUGAUCUGCAAAUCUAUCAGAGUAGUUAGCAUAUACUUAUGAAGUCAGUAGAAUAAGGAGAGCCAAAAUUGAGAAAACCACUGUGAGAGUAGGGAGUCCCGAAUACUGAACAUGCACUGGAUGAAACGUCUGCUAAUCAACAGCAAAUUAACUUUGACAAUGUGGUAAGGCAAAACUUUCUGGGAACCUGUGACUGUACAUUGUAUGAAGAUUAAUACUAUAGAAAGCAGACAUUUGAUUUUUUUACAACAUUUCCCCUCUUGUUCCUGUGGCCUGGUCCUUUUUGACCACCUUCAGCUAGCUUCCAUCUCACCUUCCCCACACUGGAGUUGUAUUUUCUUCAACGAACAAAAUCAUCAAAACACAUUACGUCUUGGGACUGAGGUACUGUGUACUGUAAAUGCCCCAGAUCCCAAACUGAAAAUUGUGGAAAUCAUAUGGCUGGAAAAAAAACUAACCCACAAGUUUUCAAAGUCUGUGCUACUACACAGAAGCAUCGGUGGUUUUGUAGAAUGGCUCUAGCUUUGCCAAAACUCAUUUUUCACUCAGUUGCCUGAUAUCAGUUUCAUCAUUUGUGAUGCCUAGUUUCAACAUCUUAAAAAAAAAACUCACCCAAACAACCAACCAAAAAACCACAAGUUUUUGCUGCAGCUCCCACACAGUAAUUUAUUUGUAAGACAUUCCAAUGGCCGCCAAAUAAAAAAAUCCCUACAACCAACCAACCAACAAGAUCACACAACAGUCAUCAUUUUAACAGCUUAUGUAGGGAGUUACUGAAGACUGGAAUAAGAGCAAUGGUGUAUAACCUUAUGCAACUUAGUUAACUUGAUCAGCUGAAUGGCUGACUAUUAUGAUGAAGUUUUUCCUUAUGGAGGAAGUCCUAGGACAUCCUUGUCUUAUGGGAAGUACAUGAAGAACACGAAGGUCAUAGGACUGAAAAGGCAUAGUGUAAGUUGUAGAGUGCAUAAUUAGCAAAAUUUCUGUUCUAUCAGCUAUUUGAAUACUUGUAGUCUUAGCAUAAUGAAAAAUAGGUGUGUUAGUGGGUUUUUUCUUCUGUCUGGAAACGUCUUUCCUUCCCCUGCUGAAGCACAGCAUUCACAUCUGCAAUUGUGUGUCUUUGGAUUCAGAGCGGUUCCUGAAUGCAUAUAAUUUAGAACACUGAUUCUUGCAUCUUUGCCCCUGCCCCCAACCCCUUAAACAUUCCUGUUGUUAAUGAUUUUGCAGAAUCAACCCCUGCACAUUCAGAAAUCAUGUGCAACCUGCAGGGAAGAAUUAUUCAAAGUCCUCUGAGGGUUCUUUUAUUGACCAGGACAGAAUAGCUGAGGACAUGGGAGCUGCAAAUCCCUGGAGUAUUUCUAAAAUAAAGAUCAGAUUUGACUGCCCUUUGCAAUUGUUGAUGCUUUUAUUGGUCUUAAAUCUGUGGCACGUAUUUUUUGAUUGAAAAGUGUAUCCUAAAAGUGCAGCUAGAACAGAAAGAGACCUUUAUAAAACCUGUUUCUUGCUGAUUUCAGUCAGAUAAUUUUGACACCAGCAGACAGAGUGGGUUAUGUUGCUACCAUAACUAAAACAUGAUCAGAUUUAAAGUUGUGCUUAGUUAUUUUCAGGGUAUGUUCAAACAAUUCACAGACCAGAAAGGGAAAUACUUAGUUCAAGGGCUAGGGGUAGAAGGCAAAUUCAGCUGCUGGUUUGAUUUUUAACAACAACCUGUGCUCUGCUUCUAACAUUACCAGUUGUUGCACCAAAGGUAGGAAAACUAUGAACGUGGGAAAUCGCUUUAAAUGUCACAUCUGACUGACAAAGACAAAUCUCUAGUCUGCUGUAGGUCAAUGCCAACUCUGUGCAGAGGCUCAGAUCCUGAACUUUAACCCUUCAAAGGACAGACCGUAUCAAGACUGUCCUAUUUUGUAAUCAUACAUGUGUAGUUUAGCCAUUAUACAUAACAAGCUUACAAUAUACAUGUAUACGUUUAUACAAAGAAGUAGUAAUAUGAGUGACAGAGAAGAGAUACAGCCGCCUUUGAACUGUACCUAAUAGGCAUAAUGAAGACUGAUUUAAAGGUUUCCUCAGAGUCUUUUCAGGUGUUAUAGUAUUUGCUCUUCUUUGAACUGUAAGACAGAUGCAACUGCCCUUUAGCAGAUUAACCUGUAGAUUUAUAGAAAAUUAAGAAAUUGCCUUAAUCUAGUUCAGUAAAAAGCUAUUAUUUUCUAUGCUUGUAUAAGCAGUUAUUUUACAAUUUUAUUACUACUACUACUACUACUACUACUACUACUACUACUUCUACUACUACUACUAUUUUCAUGUUGGUACUGUCUCAAACCCCAGAGGAGACCAGAAGCUCAUAGAUUCAUCACAUCUGGAUUUACCAACCCAAUAUAAGAGACACCAAAGCAAAAUGGUUUAAAAGUAAUGUAGAAACAAAAUAGAUGAUAUUAGACAAAAAAGAGAAGCAAUUUGUCCCUGGUCAAAAUGAAGGUCACUGGCAGAGGUGGAAUUUGCCUCUAGGGCUGUUGAUAUAUGCGACUGUAGUGCUUCUCAAUUUUCCUAGAUCUUUUAGAGUUCCUUUAAAUAGCACGUUGUACAUGUUACAUAAAAAGGAAAUGUGCAGAUAACUUGGAAGCAUAAAUUCAAGAGGCAAGGUGGAGUAGCUGCCUCGCAGAGCCCAUCUAUUUCUGAAUGAUGACUCUGACAGCUGAACAAGUGCAUGACGACAAUUAUUUUUCAUUUUUUUUAUGUUGAGUAGAAAGCCGCUGUGUGUGGACUGCUAGCACUUACACCAUUAACAAGAUGUGUUCUCCUACUUGCUUGGUUUUCACACAGAUAGCUGCUAACUGUAACAACUGGGCUGCUAUUAACGUGUAUCAAAUAGCUCCCGAUUUCUUUGCUUUGAACCAAGUACCUUUUUUCCCCCCGCUCUGACUUAACAGGAAAAUUGGAAAAUGUUUAAGCAAGUGAUGUUAAUAGAGCCCCAUUUGGUACUUACAUCAUAUAUUAACAUAUCAAACACAGUUUAACAUUCAAAAUAUCUUCUGUCUGGCAGCCAGGAAAUUAUGCCAUAAUGUUAAUGUACAUGCCCUUAUUAAAUUUUGCCUCUAUAAUAGACAAUCUGUUAUAAUGUAAAGGGAACAGCAAUAUAUCAUAGAUAUUACAACACAGACUGGCACUGCAAAGAUAAAAUUUCAAAUAUGCAUACUUAUACAACUACUAUCUGAAUAUCUUUAUUUUGAAUAUCUUUAUUGAAUAAAUUUAUUUCUUCUGCAAAUAAACCAAGGACUCAAUAAACAGUGACAGGCAGGGAGAGCAGGCACCUGGGGAAAGGGGACGGGAGGAUGCGGGGAAGGGGAAGAAUAACAAAGAAUAGAUGCUGUGUGCAUGAUCAGUGUGAAACACUGUAAAAUCACACAAAAUCUGGGGGCAGUCCUGCCUCCCUUCUGCCUGCAACCAUCCCUUCCCACUGCCGUCUUACGCUUGCUGGGACCUAGUGAGGCAGAUCUGUUCACGGACCAGAUUGAAAUGUAACAAUUUCAAUGGAGGGGAAGAAAUUGCUGUCCACCAGCUCACAAUGCAUAUGCACGGUUACUUUAACCAAUCCAAGGAAACAAGAGAGAAGACUUGCAAAAACAGCCAAGAGUGGUGUGCAGGAGCAAGAAGCAGCUGCCCGUGCACAGCACUGCAGAAUCCCUCAGCUGAAGCUGGCUGUGAAACUCCACUGUAAGGAAAUGCAGCAGGUUUUAUGAAAGUCCACAACCACAAAACCAGUUGAAACUUGAAAUUUACUUUGAGAGUUUAAAGUAGUUUGAGUAGUUUUAAACAGCAAAAACAAAUGCCCACAUUUCCUAGAAUUAAUUUUUCAAAUUUAUUUUUAUUUCAAAGCAAAAUAUGUAUUUAUUUAUAUUUAAUUGAGACUGUCCUUUGAAAUCCAACCCUGUGAAGUUUUACUGCGUUCUCCCUUCUGCAGUUCCUGGAGUGCCUUUGAGAUGAAUACAUUAGAAAUUAACCUCCCUGCUGCCCAUGCUAUCUGCCUGACAGUAUUUCUCUGGAGCCACAUCUGGGAGCUGUGAAGUCAUAUGCUCCAGCUGGCAGUGCUGCCGUGAAGCUGCACUGUUUGGAAGCAGAACAUCCCAGUAAGCCACUGCAGAGAACUUGAACAUAAUUUUUAUAUGUAAAAUAUAUAUUCUCUGAAGCUUACAUAGCAAUCUGAGCCAGGAGAAUCCAACCAUUCCGGAAGAGUGGCAGAAAUAGUUUGAACAUGUUAACAAAAGUAAGCAGUCUCUAACAAACUUUUACACUUGAAGUUCAAUUUGUCUUGCUCUUAAGAAAUUGAAAUAAUUUUAACACUUCCCUAUAAAGAAAAAAAAAGUCAUCCAUUCUAAUAUGGACAUCAGUAAAAGAGGCCAGUAGAAUAAGGGUGAAGACAAAGCUUUAGAGAGAAGGAACAGCUCGUGAUGACUCAGGUUGCUGAGCCUUGUGUGCCAGUUUUACCCGCGACACAGCAGGCAGGCUGCAGCUUGUGCUAAUCCAGCAACACUGCGCAGUGAGAACUGUCAAAGCAAUUGCAAGGCCCAAGACAACAAACACCAGAUAAAACACUUGAGCAAAGAGAGACGAAGAAAAAAAAAAGUAUUUAAAAUUCAUGUAGAUUAAACUGAAGAGGAAAAACCUGAAUGUAAUAACAAAAUUUACAGAGAUUCUAGAGGAAAACUGUUCUUACUCAAUCCAACAAAUAAGGGGAUAUUUCAACUGUAAAUAUUUUGUUUAGAUUAUGGUGGAAAGCAGGCCUGUCCACCCCUCUGACACCCUGCCUUUUCUUCUCUGUUACCUGAACAAGAUGAUUUGCUGCCCUUUUGAUCUAUCUCUGGUGUUCCUUCCUCAGUGUCCCACUGUGCUUACUCAAAACUAAUGACUUUUUCUCCUCCCGGAACCUUGAUCCCCAGUCUGGCAGGUCCUGGGUCACCACUGUCACCUUCUUUGCCCUCAUUCAUCCCUGCUGCCACGAGAUAUCAAAGUGCCAGCUUGGUUGCCUUUGCUAUGAUGGGCUGACCUUGCAGAAAGCCAGCAUGCCUGGUAGCACCUGUGAACGUGAAGUCAGCUGCAUUGUGCUCCUUCUGAGAUAGGAAAAGUGACCUGGAGCAUCCUGUACCUGGAAUGGAGGACUGCACCUGGAUUCUUGGAAGCCUCCUGAGCUCUAGCAGUCUACAUGCACAGGUCAGAAAAAGGAUGGGACAGGAGGAGAGAAGGUGAAGUGAAACCAAGGACACACAGCAGCAGAUGGGAACGUUGUCUUCUCUAUCCAUGGCAUUGCCAGUUAGGAGGCACUGCCUCCUUUUGAUGCAGAACUGGCUGUGGUCCAACAUUAGAAGUAGGCAAAUCCAGCAGACUUUGGUACCAAGGGGAUCUCCUUUAUGGACUGCUGCAGCCAAGUCCAGAGGGCUCCCAGCCCUGGGGAGAGAGCUCUGGGAAGGGACUGAGCACAUAUUCCCAACCAACACACGUGUAUACGUAGUACCUGUGCAGGCUCACACAGAUCACUCCAAAGAUACCAGUGCCAUUGCCAGCACCCACCAGCUGCAACCAUGUGAAUACGAUCAGCACAAACAGCCCAUACCUGCCCUGCCCUGCCCUGAUCACCGCUGAAGUUCAUCGGUGGAGUACACUGAUCCCUCACUCUGGAUUCACACCGCAGUCAUUGACUACUCAAAUAUGAGCAGGAAACUACAUCAGGUUGCUCAGAGCCCCACCCAACCUGACCCUGAAUGCUUCCAGGGAUGGGGCAUCUACCAUCUCUUUGGACAACCUGUUCCAGUGUUUCACCACACUCAUGGUAAAAAAAAACCCUAUUCUUUAUAUCUAGUCUGAAUCUACCCUCAUUUAGUUUAAAAUCAUUACCCCUUGGCCUAUCGCAACAGGACCUGCUAAAAAGAUUUCCCCCCAUCUUUCUUAUAAACCUCCUUUAAGUAAUGAAAGGCCACAAUAUGGUCUCCUUGGAGCCUUCAUUUCUCCUGGCUGAACAAUCCCAGCUCCUUCAUCCUUUCCUCAUUGGAGAUCAUUUUUGUGGCCUCCUCUGGAACUGUCUCCAACAGGUCCAUGUCUGUUCUGUGCUGAGGGCUCCAGAGGUGGAUGCAGUACUUCAGGCAGGGUCUCAGGAGAGCAGAGUAGAGGGGCAGAAUCACCUCCCUCAACCUGCUGGCCACAGUUCUUCUGAUGUAGCCCAGGAUACAGUUGGCUUUCUGGGCUGUGAGUGCAUGUUGCUGGCUCAUUUCCAGUUUGCCACUCACCAGUACCCCCAGGUCUUUCUCCGCAGGGCUGCUUUCCACCCCUUCAUCCCUCAGCCUGUAUUGAUACCAGAGGGGCCCUGCCCAGGUGCAGGACCUUGCAUGACCUUCACAUAGGCCCACUUCUCAAGCAUGUCCAGGUCCCUCUGGAUGGCGACCCAUCCCUCAGGCAUGUCAGCUGCACCACUCAGCUUGGUGUUGUCUGUAAACUGGCUGAGGGUGCACUCGAUCCUGCUGUCUAUGUCGUUGAUGAAGAUACUAAAUGGUACUGGUCCCAGUACAGACCCUUGAGGGACACCAUCAUCACUGAACUCCAUCCAGGCAUUGAGCCAUUGACCACUACUCUCUGGAUGUGACCAUUGAACCUAUUCCUUACCCAUCAAAUAGUCCACCCAUCAAAACCAUAUCUCUCCAAUUUAGAGAGGAGGAUGUUGUGAGGGAGUGUGUCAAAGGCCUUGCAAAAGUCUAGAUAGAUGACAUCCCUAGCUCGUCCCUUGUCCACUGAAGUAGCCACUCCAUCAUAGAAGGAUAUUAGAUAGGUGAGGCAAGACUUGCCCUUGGUGAAGUCUGUGCUGGCUGUCUCAAACCAUUGCCCUGUUCCCCAUGUGCCUUAGCAUAGCUAGGAGGAUCUGUUCCAUGAUCUCCUCAUAUUGACUAAGCUCAUAAUAUCAUAAGAAGUUGAUAAAGCUAUAUGACCACCAUCAUAAAACAGGCAUCCUCUAUACCUGAUGAUUUCAUUGAGAAGCCCUUGGAGAGGGUUUGAGAUUUUCAAAAUGUUUUUUGUUACCUGUAUUGAGUUAAUCACAAAUACCCUGCAAUGCUCAAUAAAUCUUAAUUUCUGCACCUAGA